CCUACGGGUGGCAGCAGUGAGGAAUAUUGGUCAAUGGACGAGAGUCUGAACCAGCCAAGUAGCGUGAAGGAUGACUGCCCUAUGGGUUGUAAACUUCUUUUAUAUGGGAAUAAAAUGUUCCACGUGUGGGAUUUUGUAUGUACCCUAUGAAUAAGGAUCGGCUAACUCCGUGCCAGCAGCCGCGGUAAUACGGAGGAUCCGAGCGUUAUCCGGAUUUAUUGGGUUUAAAGGGAGCGUAGGUGGAUUGUUAAGUCAGUUGUGAAAGUUUGCGGCUCAACCGUAAAAUUGCAGUUGAAACUGGCAGUCUUGAGUACAGUAGAGGUGGGCGGAAGUCGUGGUGUAGCGGUGAAAUGCUUAGAUAUCACGAAGAACUCCGAUUGCGAAGGCAGUUCACUGGACUGCAACUGACACUGAGGCUCGAAAGUGUGGGUAUCAAACAGGAUUAGAUACCCCAGUAGUC
rnacentral:rRNA from 1 species